GAUGAAGAACGUAGCAAAAUGCGAUACUUGGUGUGAAUUGCAGAAUCCCGUGAACCAUCGAGUUUUUGAACGCAAGUUGCGCCCGAAGCCUUUUGGCCGAGGGCACGUCUGCCUGGGCGUCACGCAUCGCGUCGCCCCCCACAACUCUCCGUAAAGGGAACUUGUGUUUUGGGGGCGGAUAUUGGUCUCCCGUGCUCAUGGCGUGGUUGGCCGAAAUAGGAGUCCCUCCGGUGGACGCACGAACUAGUGGUGGUCGUAAAAACCCUCGUCUUUUGUUUCGUGCCGUUAGUCGCGAGGGAAACUCUUUAAAAACCCAAAUGUGUCGUCUCUUGACGGCGCUUCGACCGCGACCCCAGGUCAGGCGGGACUACCCGCUGAGUUUAAGCAUAUCAAUAACGGAGGA
rnacentral:misc_RNA from 1 species